rnacentral:rRNA from 1 species
AGAACGAACGCUGGCGGCAGGCUUAACACAUGCAAGUCGAACGCCCCGCAAGGGGAGUGGCAGACGGGUGAGUAACACGUGGGAACGUCCCCCUCGGUUCGGAAUAACUCAGGGAAACUUGAGCUAAUACCGAAUACGUCCGAGAGGAGAAAGAUUUAUCGCCGAGGGAUCGGCCCGCGUCUGAUUAGCUAGUUGGUGAGGUAACGGCUCACCAAGGCGACGAUCAGUAGCU